rnacentral:rRNA from 1 species
ACCCGCACAAGCGGUGGAUGAUGUGGUUUAAUUCGAUGCAACGCGAAAAACCUUACCCACCUUUGACAUGGCAGGAAUCCUAAAGAGAUUUGGGAGUGCUCGAAAGAGAACCUGCACACAGGUGCUGCAUGGCUGUCGUCAGCUCGUGUCGUGAGAUGUUGGGUUAAGUCCCGCAACGAGCGCAACCCUUGCCAUUAGUUGCUACGAAAGGGCACUCUAAUGGGACUGCCGGUGACAAACCGGAGGAAGGUGGGGAUGACGUCAAGUCCUCAUGGCCCUUAUAGGUGGGGCUACACACGUCAUACAAUGGCCGGUACAGAGGGUAGCCAACCCGCGAGGGGGAGCCAAUCCCACAAAGCCGGUCGUAGUCCGGAUCGCAGUCUGCAACUCGACUGCGUGAAGUCGGAAUCGCUAGUAAUCGCGGAUCAGCAUGUCGCGGUGAAUACGUUCCCGGGUCUU